GACCUGCGGUAGCCCUCCCCGCCUGUGCCUGUGCCUGUGCCUGUGCCUCCGCCUCGCUCGCGUGAGCGCCGCGCCAGCGAGGUGGUGUGGGUUGCGGCCGCGGCGGGGUUCCCUCUCCCUCCUGCCCGCUUCCGUGUUGGUUCCGUACGGGAUCGAAUCGGAGGUCUGCUGUUUUUGGAGGCUAUCGAUGGGCCUCGACAACAAUUUUGGCGAGCUAUCUGGCAUGUUCUGCGGCUUGUCUUAUGAUGGCUACGCGGAGCACACCAGCCAGAGUGAUUACUUCAGGUUCGCUGAUCCGCAGCCGGCGAUCGUGCCACAGAUGGACGCCGGGACCAGCUCGAACGCUUCGUCCGCGGUGUCGAGGGUCACCGUCAACUCAGGAGCUGACAAUCCAGAGGACUGGGAGUUUAUAUCAGACGAGUCGCUCAACUACAUCAGCCGCAUGCUCAUGGAGGAAGACAUUGAUGAGAAGGUCAGCAUGUACCAGGAGGAGUCGGCGGCGCUCCGCGCGGCUGCGAAGCCGUUCUACGACAUUCUUGGGCACAAGUUCCCGCCAUCCCCUGACCACCAAAUGGUAGCUUGGCCCCUGGACAGCCCGAGUGAGAGCAGCACGAGCAGCUGUCCGCAGUCCUUUUCUAGUAGUGUUACUAGCAGCAACACUGGUGGUGUGGUCGAUGGCAGACAGCGGCAUAAUGUUGGACGCAGUGAGCAUCGGAGCUUUUCUGGUCAUCCAUCUCAACCGCUGGUUAGCACAUCAAGCGAUGUUUGCAACACAGCGGAGGUAUUAGAAGAUCCUUUGAUUACCAGUGGCAGGAUCCCUGAGUAUUUGUUUGAGAGCUUUCCAACCUGGGAUUUCAGGAGAGGUGUUGAGGAGGCACGUAAGUUUCUCCCAGGUAGUGAUAAGCUAGUGAUUGAUUUAGAAGCUGGUGGUAUUGCAAAACGUCAAGAAGCACGGAAGGCUGUUUCUUUGAAUGGCAGCAAGUCAGAGGUUUUGAAGGUGAAGAAAAACAAACAGAUUGAAGACCUUGACCUGAUUGAAGGACGGAACAUCAAACAGUCUGCAUUUUGUUCUGAUGAACCUGAUUGGAUUGAGAUGUUUGAUGAUCUGCUUCGUCAAACUGAGAAGAAGGCAACUGAUCUUAUGAACAUAAUGAAAACUGAAGCUUCGAAGAAUUCUCAAGUCACUCAGACAAAAGGAGCAAGUGGGACCCGAUCGCGGGGAAGGAAGCCAACAAAGAAGGAUGUGGUGGACCUUAGGACGAUCCUCAUCCACUGUGCUCAGGCAGUGGCAGCUGAUGACCGCCGAACUGCUAGUGAGUUGUUAAAGCAAGUAAGGCAGCAUGCCAAGCCAAAUGGGGAUGGUGCCCAAAGAUUGGCAUAUUGCUUUGCAGAUGGUCUUGAGGCUCGCUUGGCCGGAACAGGGAGCCAGCUUUAUCAUAAACUUGUGGCAAAACGGACAACAGCCUCUGACAUGCUCAAGGCAUACCAUCUUUACCUUGCAGCAUGCCCAUUCAAGAGGCUCUCACAUUUCCUCUCCAAUCAAACAAUCUUAAGUCUGACAAAAAAUGCAUCAAAGGUGCAUAUCAUUGACUUUGGCAUUUACUUUGGCUUCCAAUGGCCGUGUCUGAUUAGGCGUCUUUUCAAGAGGGAAGGUGGGCCACCAAAGUUGCGCAUCACAGGGAUUGAUGUACCUCAGCCAGGUUUCCGUCCGACUGAGCGCAUCGAAGAGACAGGGCAGAGGCUUGCAGAAUAUGCUGAGAAGAUUGGUGUCCCUUUUGAGUACCAAGGCAUUGCCUCAAAGUGGGAAACCAUCCGUGUUGAGGAUCUCAAUAUCAAGAAAGAUGAAGUAGUGAUUGUUAAUUGCUUGUAUCGGUUCAGAAAUCUUAUUGAUGAAACAGUUGCUGUAGACAGUCCUAGGAAUAGGGUGCUCAAUACCAUAAGGCAAGUGAACCCCGCAAUUUUUAUACAUGGUAUUGUCAAUGGGUCAUACAGUGUCCCCUUCUUCAUCACCCGGUUUCGUGAGGCAUUGUUUCAUUUCUCUGCGUUGUUUGACAUGCUUGAGGCAACUGUGCCGCGGGAUGAUGCCCAACGUGCACUCAUUGAGAGGGAUCUAUUUGGCCGAGAAGCGCUCAAUGUUAUUGCAUGUGAAGGCUCAGACAGGGUCGAGAGACCGGAGACAUACAAGCAGUGGCAAGUGAGGAAUCUGAGGGCUGGAUUUGUCCAAUGUCCAUUAAACCAAGACAUUGUGAUGAAAGCCAAGGACAAAGUUAAAGACAUUUAUCACAAAGACUUUGUUAUUGACGAAGACAGUGGAUGGCUUCUUCAAGGAUGGAAAGGAAGGAUUAUCUAUGCCAUAUCUACAUGGAAGCCUAAUAACAAUUAGGUUGUUAUUAGGUUAGGGUCUGUGGGCUGUGCCUAGUUGCCCAUUAGCACUAGCAAUUAAGGAGCAAAGGUACUUGCAUUGGACUACAAGCGUAUGUACAGUGAUCAUAAAUGCGAGAGGUUGCCGUCCAAGAUGAGACCCCCAUGGCCAAGGCUGAUACCCAGUGCAAUGGUGGCAAAGGCGGAGGCCCUCUAGCGGCUAUGAUGGUUAUUCAUCUGGGGCAGCAGGCGAUGGCGUGCACCAUUGUACCCUGGCCUUGACUUCAUUUGUGAGAAUGUUCUUUGGGACUUUGGCACAGUCAGGUGCAUGCUUAUUUGAUUAUGGAAAUUAGGGACUUGUGUCUGAGGGAUUAUGUUCCUAGCAAGCCAGAAUUCUUUGUCAAUUGCUUCCUCGAGAUGCUGUUGCUGGAGGAAUAGGAGAAGACUUUGCUGCUUCAGGGGUGCCAAGGCCUGCAGUAUCAUAGGCAUGGAUUUAAUUUGACUUGGAUACAGUGGACGAUAAAUCGGUGCAUUUGUACUUUAUGGCCUACUGAUCCUGAUGAAGCCUUGGUUUUAGCCAUUGUUGCAUGGGUGCUUAGUGGUGCAGUGUUUUCUGAAUUUCUCUUUUCUACGGAUGUAAUUUAUAGGGUAUCUUUUUUUUUUUUAAUUUGGAUUGCAUUGUACUUACUACAUAAAUGUUAUUUAUCCUUUUUUGGCCCAACUAUUUUCUUCCAUCCAUGCUUACCUUACUGAGACUUACUGCUCACAUUCUGAUUAUGGAAAGAGGCUAAUUUUGUGUUACGUGUAGUGGAAGUU